rnacentral:misc_RNA from 1 species
UCCAGCUUAACGCUAGCAGUCCCUCUAGAGUGCCCAACUUAAUGAUGGCAACAAGAGGCGUGGGUUGCGCUCGUUACGGGACUUAACCCAACAUCUCACGACACGAGCUGACGACAGCCAUGCAGCACCUGUCUCUUUGCCGUAUUGCUACGGAAGCCGGCUUUCACCGGUUGUCAAAGGAUGUCAAGACCAGGAUAAGGUUCUUCGCGUUGCGUCGAAUUAAACCACAUGCUCCACUACUUGUGCGGGUCCCCGUCAAUUUCUUUGAGUUUUAAUCUUGCGACCGUACUCCCCAGGCGGAGUGCUUAACGCGUUAGCUACGUCACUGAAAGGGUUAACACUUCCAACGACAAGCACUCAUCGUUUACAGCGUGGACUAC